UUGCUAGGUUAAGUAGGGGCUGUUUUAUUAUGGUCUUUAUUUUAUUGUUAUUAAACC
rfam:Choloepus hoffmanni cont1.171436, whole genome shotgun sequence.